rnacentral:lncRNA from 1 species
AUAGAAAAAUUUCAUUUUACACGAGAGCAGAAAAUAGAGAGGAAGAGAGAAAAAAAAGAAAAGAAUAGGAAGCAUGGGAUAAAGUCCCCUCAAUCCAUUUUUUUUGUUUUAUGCUUGAAGGGUCACUUUAUAUGUUAAUAGUUCCAUGCCUAUCAAGCUCCUAAUAAAUACUAGUAUAUAGAUAUCAUAUAUUUGGUUGGCUUUUUUAGGCCCUUUCUUUAAUUUAAUUUAAGUUUUAUGUUUGGCAAAAUUGAAAUUAUUUCUUUCAUUGUCAACCUAUUCAUAAGCCGUCGAAGUUGUUCAUUUUUUAAUAAAUAAAAGGAAUAAAUGCUUACCCUCGAACUGGAUUUAGGUGGUCCCGUGGAUCAGAUACUGGUGUGAAAAUAGAAAGAAAAGACAUAAAUGUCUUUUUACAAUUAAUUAAAAGAAAAUUAAAAGAAAAAUUAGAGAAAUUACAAUUAUUUGGGACUAGGCCAAAACCCAAUAUAAACAAUCAAGGGCAUAAACAAUAUCUACAUUGUUAAAAGUCCUACUAGAAAAAUUCAAUUAGAUAAAACCACGUUGAAGGGAAAAAGAGUGCAGGUCGAACAAAAGAAUGAGCCCUGAAAAAAUAUAUAUAUCAACAUAUAAACGAUAAUCAGGAAACCGGUUAAAU